rnacentral:rRNA from 1 species
CCUACGGGUGGCUGCAGUAGGGAAUUUUUCACAAUGGGCGAAAGCCUGAUGGAGCAACGCCGCGUGCAGGAUGAAGGCCUUCGGGUUGUAAACUGCUUUUAUAAGCGAGAAAUAUGAUGGUAACUUAUGAAUAAGGAUCGGCUAACUACGUGCCAGCAGCCGCGGUCAUACGUAGGAUCCGAGCAUUAUCCGGAGUGACUGGGUGUAAAGAGUUGCGUAGGUGGCAUAAUAAGUAGCUAGUGAAAUCGGGUGGCUCAACCAUUCAGACUAUUAGCUAAACUGUUAAGCUCGAGACCGUUAGGGGUAACUGGAAUUUCUAGUGUAGGAGUGAAAUCCGUAGAUAUUAGAAGGAACACCAAUAGCGUAGGCAGGUUGCUGGGACGGUUCUGACACUAAAGCACGAAAGCGUAGGGAGCAAACGGGAUUAGAUACCCGGGUAGUC